UGGGGAAUAUUGGACAAUGGGGGCAACCCUGAUCCAGCAAUGCCGCGUGGAUGAUGAAGGCCUUCGGGUUGUAAAGUCCUUUCGGCGGGGAAGAUGAUGACGGUACCCGCAGAAGAAGCCCCGGCUAACUUCGUGCCAGCAGCCGCGGUAAUACGAAGGGGGCUAGCGUUGUUCGGAAUUACUGGGCGUAAAGGGCGCGUAGGCUGUGCUGCAAGUCAGGCGUGAAAGGCCCGGGCUCAACCUGGGAACUGCGCAUGAUACUGCGGCGCUUGAAGACGGGAGAGGAUGGCGGAAUUCCCAGUGUAGAGGUGAAAUUCGUAGAUAUUGGGAAGAACACCGGUGGCGAAGGCGGCCAUCUGGCCCGUGAUUGACGCUGAGGCGCGAAAGCGUGGGGAGCAAACAGGAUUAGAUACCCUGGUAGUCCACGCCGUAAACGAUGAGUGCUAGACGUCGGGGAGCUUGCUCUUCGGUGUCGCCGCUAACGCAUUAAGCACUCCGCCUGGGGAGUACGGUCGCAAGAUUA
rnacentral:rRNA from 1 species